AAAAGUAAAAGCAGAUAUAACAGAAAUGGUCAAAAAUUACCCUCAAUUGGGCAUAAUGGAAAACAAAUAGAUUUUGUAUACCUGAAACUGGCAAACUUUUCAUUUAUGUUGCUGUCACUUAAGUUACAAAAUGUAUUGUUUAUAGAAGGAUUUCCUACAACCUGUUUCAUAAUCACAGUAUAUGAAAAACAUCCUAAUAACCGAUACAGAUAAAACUGCUUCUGAUAAGAUAAAUGGCAUAUGCAGAAUACUUAACAACAACCAUAACAUAAUCUAAACAGACUACUGAAGAAAUAAAAACCUAUCACAGAUAACUACACUGAUUAUUACUGACCUUAAAUUUCAAUUUACUUUUCAGAUUUCUGCUGUAAAGAAGGUGCUGUCGGGAAAACAACACGUUCCCCUUAAAAACCUCCAGCUGAAGGAGGAUGGGUUUACCAUGGCAGUGUGCCUCUGGAGGGAGGCAGCUGUUAACAGCGUGAACGUGGGAGACCACAUCAGUCUCUCUCACGUUAAGCAGAAACAGUCCUCAUAUGGAGUACAACUUCAUAGUACAGCAUUUACACAGAUUGAGAGAAAUGUCGAGGACAGUGCUGACAUCAUCAUCAUUGGUGUGGCCACGGCAGAAAUGCCAAACCAGCUGGAGGUGUUGCUGGACAAUGGAAAGAGCCUCUACAUUCAAAGCGAGCUGUGGAGUCCCUUCGAUAAAGAACUGGAGGAGGCAGUAAUCAAAGUUACAGUUAAAAUAAGCGGAAAGCAAAUUGUACAUAUUCAAAAAUAUCAGUGCGAAUAAUUUAAAGAAAAUGUACAGUUCCUUUGUUCACUUUGUUCAAAAAUGUGAGAGAUUGUAUUUUAUAACUUAAAAAGAAUGAUUUUUUUUCCUAUCAGUAUUUAUAAUUUUUAAUGAUAUUUUGUUAAGUUCUGUAUUAUAGUUAACAGUUUUAGUAUUUUCCAGCGUUAAGUAUUUAUAUAUUAAAAAGUCUACAUAAUAAUCUUAGAUUUGUGUUUGUUUUUAAUUUUUAGA
rnacentral:lncRNA from 1 species